CACACGUACAUAUUUAAAUUCACAAUGCAUAUAUAUUUAAUUAUCAGUGUAACAAAGUAGCAGUUAAUGCAUAACAAGGAAAUAAUAAGGAUAAGAUGCUGCCAAUGGACUAGAUACUGUAGUAAAAAUUGUUAUUGUUAUUUAAGUAUUGUUUUGUGUAAAUAGCUAGAAUCUAAUAAAUGAUAAUUAAAGCUGUAAUUUCAUAUAAUAAUAAU